UACGAAGGGUGCAAGCGUUACUCGGAAUUACUGGGCGUAAAGCGUGCGUAGGUGGUUUGUUAAGUCUGUUGUGAAAGCCCCGGGCUCAACCUGGGAAUGGCAAUGGAUACUGGCAAGCUAGAGUGCGGUAGAGGGUAGUGGAAUUCCCCGGUGUAGCGGUGAAAUGCGUAGAGAUCGGGAGGAACACCAGUGGCGAAGGCGGCUACCUGGACCAGCACUGACACUGAGGCACGAAAGCGUGGGGAGCAAACAGG
rnacentral:rRNA from 1 species